rnacentral:misc_RNA from 1 species
UAUAAAUAUAACUGUUGGCCAUAAUUCCUUAAAAGUCGUCUACUACUAUCCCAAUAAGAUGAAGUUUAUUUGGCUCUUAGCAUUAUGUGCUGCAAUAGGCAAAUCUGCGGUCUGCUUUGACUCUGAACGUAAGAAUGGAUAGAAUGGCUGGUACAUACCUAGACCCGAUGACAGCUUUUUUUAGUUGGAUAGAAUUAUUACAGAGCAUUUGCUUGAAAAUUUAGAAAAGUUAAAGAGCCUUACACUGCAAAAAGCUCCGGUCGACUUCUACCUGUUCACAAAGUUAAACCCCACCAAGGGCACCAAGAUCACAGCCACCAGCAAGUCUAUUAAAAAAUCCAAUUUCGAUACCUAAAACCCUACAAGAUUUAUUAUCCACUGCUGGCUCCAGAGCAGAUCAUCGGACAUGAACAAAAACAUUCGUGAUGCCUGGCUGAGCAAUUGUGACUACAACGUCAUCGUCGUAGACUGGGCUAGUGCACGAUCCCCGGUUAUGCUACCCCUGUUGUGGCUGUACAUAUCGUAGGCAAGAAGGCCAACAUGAUCAACUACAGCACCGUUCGCAUGAGCGCUGAUAGCAAUGCCGACAAGGUCGAGGGUGUCUUCUAUGUGCCGGUGAACAGCGAAUCUCCCCACGGCAAUGCCAACUAUGUAGUAAUGUGACGCAAUCAAUCAAAUAAUUAGACUAGGUAAUCUAGUUGGGUUUACGACGCUAAUCAUAUAACUGAACGAUACACCUUGAGGCUAUAAUCCAUACUAUAGUGUGGUAUAUACAUACAUAUAUACUUAUACGGUAACCGGUACUGCUAUCAACAUAGUAAUUCAAGCAAUUCCAUUAGAAGCAAACAAUAUAUGGACUUGUCGUUUCCCACGCAGUGCAUAAAUCAUACGACAUUGAUGUAGGCCUCCACCGAUAAAGAUUUAUGAUCAGUGAUAAUUAUUAAUUAUACUUGUGGUUCACUAAAUGACUUCUAAUUGUAUGCCCAUUGCUCCUCAUUUUUCGAGGUGACCAUAUGUGCCUCCUAAAAGUAUGCAACAUGUGUGUGUAUGUUAUUCUAAUAUUGGAUUUUGUGUACUAUUUUUGCAUGUCAUUUAAUUCAUCUACUCUGCCAAUUAGCACGAACAGGAUAAUCAGCCAUGGAAAAAUCAUUAGCAAUAAUACGAGUACAACUCAGAGAGGUAAACACAAAAAGUGAGCAGUAAAGAAGGGGGCAGUGGGUGGCUGGGGCGGAAGUCUCUAAACAAAUUGAGUCACAGUUAAUAGGCUUUUGUUGGGUCAACCGUUCAUUGUUUACAUUACUCGUUUACACUCAGCAAAUUUGCUUCAAGCCACAGACAUAGACCAUAGCUGGCCGAAACUUCUUAUCAGUCGAAAUACCUCACAAUAUAAAACCCUUUUAGCUCUUAGCUUUCUGUUCCACGUACAUGGAAUUCCGCCAACUCUUUAACAAAUGCUAUUAAUUCAUACACAGCUUCGGCUGGCAGCUUAUGUUGGAUAGAUAAACAUGCGGCAGAACGUUGGCUUCGACGAAUUGAAAACGUACUGUUCAAUGACCAAAGUUCCUAUCGAAUUCUACCUGUUCACCAAGUCCAACCCCACCAAGGGUACCAAGAUCACAGCUACGAGCAAUUCAAUCGCCUCAUCCAACUUCAGUGCCUAUGAUCCAACGAGGAUUUAUUAUUCACGGCUAGACCCAGAGUAGCUCAUCGGACUUGCAGAAGAACGAUCGGGACGCCUGGCUGAGCAAUGGUGACUACAACGGCAUCGUUGUGGACUGGGCUAAUGCAUGUUCCAUGGACUAUAUUUCCUCCGUUGUGGCUAUACCCGGCGUAAGCCAGAAGGUCGCCAACAUGGUCAACUACCUUGACUUCCAUCAUGACUUGAGUCUCGACUACCCCAAGAAAAACUUUGGAACCAUGAAGUGCGAUAGCUAUAUGGCAGCCGUCAAUAAGAAGUGUGGCAACACCUACAGCACUAUUCGAAUGGGUGAUGAAGGCAAUGCCGACAGGGUCAAGGGUGCCUUUUAUGUGCCGGUGAACAGCAAUGCUCCCCACGGCAAUAUCAACUAAAUAAGAAUAAUAAUGUGACGCAAUCAAAAAAGUUACCGAAAACAAUCGAAUUCCGCUUUGCUUAAGGAAGCAUUUUUUGUGUAAGUAACUAAUCUUUGGGUUCACGACGCUAAUCAUAUAACUCGAAAAUACACAUUGAGUUUCUAAUCCAUACUAAGCCGUACACUAUAUGGCAAGCGAUACGUCUAUCAAUUUAGUAAUUGCUCAUGGAUCUAGCACUUCCCUUGCAAAUUUAAUCGAGUUUCAAGUGCUUUUAAGCCAAUAUAGAAGGAUGGUGUAGUA